GCUAGAGAACCUUUUUGUUGAAUGAUGAUUCAUUGCAGAAGAAGUAAAGAUACAUCAUACUUCAUAAAUCAAUACAAACCAAUUAACCAAACCUGCUAAAUAUAAAAAUGGGCAUGACUGAGCAUGAGACAAGAACUAAACUAGAAGCAAAUCCUUAAUUAAUCAGAUACCCUGUAACAAGAACUAAACUAGAAGCGCAAAUCCCUAAUUAUUAAGCAUCUAAAUUACAUAAAUAUACACAUAGAGAGAGAGAGAGAGAGAGAGAGAGAGAGAGAGAGAGACCUGUGCUUAUCGUUGCCGGAGAUUUGUUCA